AUCAUGGCUCAGAUUGAACGCUGGCGGCAGGCCUAACACAUGCAAGUCGAGCGGUAGCACAGAGAGCUUGCUCUCGGGUGACGAGCGGCGGACGGGUGAGUAAUGUCUGGGAAACUGCCUGAUGGAGGGGGAUAACUACUGGAAACGGUAGCUAAUACCGCAUAAUGUCGCAAGACCAAAGUGGGGGACCUUCGGGCCUCAUGCCAUCAGAUGUGCCCAGAUGGGAUUAGCUUGUAGGUGGGGUAACGGCUCACCUAGGCGACGAUCCCUAGCUGGUCUGAGAGGAUGACCAGCCACACUGGAACUGAGACACGGUCCAGACUCCUACGGGAGGCAGCAGUGGGGAAUAUUGCACAAUGGGCGCAAGCCUGAUGCAGCCAUGCCGCGUGUGUGAAGAAGGCCUUCGGGUUGUAAAGCACUUUCAGCGGGGAGGAAGGCGGUGAGGUUAAUAACCUCAUCG
rnacentral:rRNA from 1 species